GGAAGAGCGGACACAGGAGGACAGUGAGUGGGGGCCAGGAGAAAGCUACAGAGACGCUCUCAGCACCGGGAUCACCUCGGACAGGAAGGGGCAAGGCACCCGUGAGACCCACUUCGGAGAACAAGAAAGAGUCCUUGUGAGUCCAAAAUACAGUAUCUGAAAAAAGUUAAAACUUAAUAGAAGGGUUGGAAGAAUGAGUUGAGGAACUCACAGAAGAAAGAACAAACAUCUGAGAGACAGAAACCGGGGAAGAGAAGACGAGGGAUGGUGGAGGGUCUCUGCGGAAGGUCUAGUGCUUGACAAGGGACAGAGGUUCCAGAAAGAGACAGAGGACCAGUGUGAAGAAAUAGUACAGGGCUCUUCCCAGAACCUCCAUAGUGGAAGAGCUGCCAAGCUCCCAGCACAAUAAAAACUGCAGACCAAGGAACGGAUUCAAAAACCCCACGAUGUUGCAUUGUUGUGAAAUUUCAGUGUCAUCAGAAGGAGAAGAUACUGGGGGUUUCUAGAAAGCGAACCUCGGUCUCCAGGAGAUGGGCAGGCACCAGAGGACGCGGCUUGCCUCCCACGAGGCCCUUCUUAAGAAGCUCCGGGGCUGAGCCUCCCAGCACAGAGCGGGGUGCCGUCCAGUCGAGAAGACAUUGGAUUUUGAAGGCUCAGCACAAAAACAGAACGGGAGGUAUCUCAUGAAUCACGUGUGCUGCUCCCAGCACAAAUCAGGACUUGCAUCCAUUCCUCCAGCGCAUGUUCAUGAGCCCCUGCUGUGUGCCAGGCGCCGUCCUGGGCGCUGGGACGCAGAAGGCAGCGGACGUCGGCAGAGACCGAGGACCUGGCAGAGUCUUUAGGUUUUCCUACAAAGAGGACUGUGCAGUCUGUGAGAAGGGACGUUCCUUCCUUUACGAGCUGUCUGCCUUUUACUUAUUGUUCAGUGACUGAUCGUGUGGGUUGUGACCUGCAGAAGAAAGUUCAGAAGAAGCGGCAAGAGCUGAUACUCCUGCCUUAGUCCCAGUCUUUGCGGGAAGAGCAUUCCAUUUUCCACCAGUAAGUAUGACGUCAUCCACAGGGGUUUCAGAGAUGCCCUUAAUUGAUUUGAGAAUGUUUCUGUUCAUCCUCAGUUUGCUGAGAGGGUCUUUUUUUCAAUCACGAAUGGGUGUUGAGUUUU